GUCCGACAUAAAAGGGCAGCUCUAGCCUGGCUUGGACUGAUCAGGGCUCCUCCGUUCACAGCUGACCAUGAGGUUCCCUGCCCAGCUCCUGGGGCUCCUCCUGCUCUGGGUCCCAGGAUCCGAUGGGGCCAUCGUGCUGACCCAGACUCCACUCUCCCUGUCAGUCAGCCCUGGAGAGCCGGCCUCCAUCUCCUGCAGGUCCAGUCAGAGCCUCCUACACAGUGAUGGAAAGAAUUAUUUGAAUUGGUACCUUCAGAAACCAGGCCAGUCUCCACAGCUCCUGAUAUAUUAUGCUAUCAACAGGGCCUCUGGGGUCCCAGACAGGUUCAGUGGCAGUGGGUCAGGCACAGAUUUCACCCUGAAAAUCAGCAGGGUGGAGGCUGAGGAUGCAGGCGUUUAUUACUGCCAGCAAUAUAAAGAAUCUCCUGGUUUCGGCGCGGGGACCAAGCUGGAGCUCAAACGGGCUGAUGCCAAGCCAUCCGUCUUCAUCUUCCAGCCAUCGAAGGAGCAGUUAGAGACCCAAACUGCCUCUGUGGUGUGCUUGGUCAAUAGCUUCUUCCCCAGAGAAGUCAAUGUCAAGUGGAAGGUGGAUGGGGCGGUCCAAAGCAGUGGCAUCCUGGAUAGUGUCACAGAGCAGGACAGCAAGGACAACACCUACAGCCUCAGCAGCACCCUCUCGCUGCCCACGUCACAGUACCUAAGUCAUAAUAUAUAUUCCUGUGAGGUCACCCACAAGACCCUGGCCUCCCCUCUGGUCAAAAGCUUCAACAGGAACGAGUGUGAGGCUUAGAGGCCCACAGGCCCCUGGCCUGCCCCCAGCCCCAGCCCCCUCCCCACCUCAGGCCUCAGGCCCUUUCCCCAGAAGAUCCUUGGCAAUCCCCCAGCCCCUCUUCCCUCCUCAUCCCCUCCCCCUCUUUGGCUUUAACCGUGUUAAUACUGGGGGGAGGGGAAUGAAUAAAUAAAGUGAACCUUUGCACCUGUGA